CGCCGAGACCCACAACGGACUCACAGCGCCCCCAUGCGCCUAGGAGGAGCUGCAGCUGCUGGGCGCAGGCCACGCCCCCAAACGCUUUCCCGCCAGCCCUGGGCUGGCCCUAAAUGGCGCCAGGUGCAGCGGGUGGGGCGACUCGCAGGCAGUUUGUUGGACCUGUGCAAGAACCUCACCUGUUUUCUGCUGCACCCUCAGCAACUUUUGUGCAAGUAAAUCCGUGAGCAGAGAAAAGCUGACAGACAUAGCAAGAUUCUCAAAGGAAACCAGUGGCAGAGCUGAAAAUAGGCCCUGAAGCCUGAGCACUGAGACAGACCCCUGUGAACACCCCGUCUCACAGAGGAUAACGCUAAUGCUGCUAGACACGCUUGAAUCCAGCGACUCCCCCACCAGAGGAUGUGGACAGACUGGGCAGCUUCCUGUAGGGACCAGGAUGUCUCGCUCCUUGACUUUGUUCAUCGAGUAAAAGCCCUCCAAGGCCCAAAUCUCCUGCAGAGAAAGUGGUUGAAGCCGGAGGAGCAGUUUGUAGCAGACGCCUGACCCACUUCUCUGUCUCCUGUAAGAGCACCCCAGUUUUCUCUGGGAAGCCAACUCUCACCAAAUUGAGCCCAUGUCAUCUGAGAGAUACGAAGAACCACGGGGACUGGCUUGGUUUGGGCAGGUGACUUGGGGCGUCUGCUGAAAUGAAUGAGAAAGACAGCUGUAAUAAUAAUAAUAUGCCUUGAUCUUGUCAUCUCAGUGGCAUCCAUAGUGUUGAUUUGUCGUGUGCCUGAGGGGUUCGGCUCUCCAGUCUUGCCUCGGAUAUGUGAUGCAUCUGGUGGUUGGCUGGUCCAGGUUCACCUUGGCUGGGAUAACAGCUCUGCUCUGUGUGUCUCUCAUCCUCCUUGCAAUGUGCUGAAUGUUCCUGUCCACCCAAAAUUCAUAGGUUGAAAUCCUAACCCCCAAAGGUGAUGGUGUUAGUAAGUGGGGCCUUUGGGAGGGGAUUAGGUCAUGAGGGUAGACCCAUCAUGAAUGAGAUUAGUGCCCUUAUAAGGGGCCCCAGAGAGCACCCUAGCCCGUUCUGCCAUGUGAGGAUGCAAGAAGUCUGUGACUCAAAGGGGAGCCUUCAUCCGAUCUUGCUGGCACCCUGAUCCUGGACUGCAGCCUCCAGGACUGUGAGCAAUAAACUUUUCUGUUGUUUUAAGCUAC